rnacentral:rRNA from 1 species
ACGGGUGAGUAACGCGUGGGAACGUACCUUUUGGUUCGGAACAACUGAGGGAAACUUCAGCUAAUACCGGAUAAGCCCUUACGGGGAAAGAUUUAUCGCCGAAAGAUCGGCCCGCGUCUGAUUAGCUAGUUGGUGAGGUAACGGCUCACCAAGGCGACGAUCAGUAGCUGGUCUGAGAGGAUGAUCAGCCACAUUGGGACUGAGACACGGCCCAAACUCCUACGGGAGGCAGCAGUGGGGAAUAUUGGACAAUGGGCGAAAGCCUGAUCCAGCCAUGCCGCGUGAGUGAUGAAGGCCCUAGGGUUAUAAAGCUCUUUUGUGCGGGAAGAUAAUGACGGUACCGCAAGAAUAAGCCCCGGCUAACUUCGUGCCAGCAGCCGCGGUAAUACGAAGGGGGCUAGCGUUGCUCGGAAUCACUGGGCGUAAAGGGUGCGUAGGCGGGUCUUUAAGUCAGAGGUGAAAUCCUGGAGCUCAACUCCAGAACUGCCUUUGAUACUGAGGAUCUUGAGCUCGGGAGAGGUGAGUGGAACUGCGAGUGUAGAGGUGAAAUUCGUAGA